GGCCUCAUAGCUCAGCUGGUAGAGCAUGCGCGUACAAAGCGUAGUCGGCGUCCGUGUGUGAGUUCCAAUCCCACCGAGGCUG
rfam:Echinostoma caproni strain Egypt genome assembly, scaffold: ECPE_contig0000705